GGGCGCAGCAGGUGCGAAACCUCCACAAUGUACGAAAGUGCGAUGGGGGAAUCCUAAGUGCUGGCGCNAUGCGUCAGCUUUUCUCGAGUCUAAAUCGCUUGAGGAAUAAGUGGUGGGUAAGACCGCUGCCAGCCGCCGCGGUAAUAGCGGCGCCACAAGUGGCAUCCAUUUAUAUUGGGUUUAAAGCAUCCGUAGCCGGCCUGAUAAGUCUACUGUGAAAUCCUAUAGAAAACUAUAGGGCGUGCGGUAGAAACUAUUACGGCUUGGGACCAGGAGAGGUCAGAGGUACUCCUAGGGUAGCGGUAAAAUGCUGUAAUCCUAGGGGGACCACCUGUGGCGAAGGCGUCUGACUGGAAUGGAUCCGACGGUGAGGGAUGAAAGCUAGGGGAGCGACCCGGAUUAGAUACCCGGUUAGUCCUAGCUGUAAACGAUGCUCACUUGGUAUUGGAAAUCUUUCGUGGAUUUCCAGUGCCGAAGGGAAACCGUUAAGUGAGCCACCUGGGGAGUACGGUCGCAAGGCUGAAACUUAAAGGAANUUGGGCGGGGGAGC
rnacentral:rRNA from 1 species